AUGUUCAUUUUUUCCCAACACACGUACGGUGUGCCACAAGUGCAUGAAGCUAAAGACUAUUUCAGGUGGAGAGAUGGACAAAGUUGGAUCCACAAGAAAGGUUUUGCAGACCAUGAAGGAACCAUAUAUUCCUUUUAUCUGAUAAGAAUGGAACUCUCCUGAUAUUCUAUAGCAUACUCAUUAUUAGGCAUGUUAUUCUUUUACACCCUAUUUGUUAUGUUCUAAAGAGCUGUUCCACUUUUAAGAUAAACAUAUGUGUUUAAGGCUGAUGACACAAUGAACACUAAGUCAAUACCAAAGUGUGUUUCUCUUAUUUGUGUUGCUACAUAAGCCCUUCCAUUACUCAUAAAACACCACUGCUACCUUACUAGCUACUCUCUGGUCAGAAAACUGUUUUAACAGUAAAUCUGAUUUAACAGAAACACACGGACAUUUACAUGAGGCCAAUAUUUGAUUGUUGUACUUUACACCAUUUGUUCACUAAGUCUGCUUGUGACAAUAAAAAGAUUAGGAGCAAUGGAGUAUGUUUUUGUUUUGGUCACUUUAAGGUCAAACUAGGUGAACUAUCUCCUUAAGCUGUUCAUAAGUCACCAUAAGUCACCAUAAGUCACCAUAAGUCACCAUAAGUCACCAUAUACUUCAAGGUGUAGGCCUUUAUUUCAUUACUUGAAAUGGCUAAUGAGUGUCUGAAAAUCUCAGAGGCUAAUGAGUGUACAGUAUAUGCUGUGAUUUCUUACAUUACUUAAGUUAUUUCUAACAGGUUGUCCAUGCAGAAAUAAACAUUGUGAACUCAAUUGAUGAGGUUAAGCUUGCCUUGUGUAAUCACAUGGGAUAUUUUUACAUCUGCUCUGCAAGCCUAUGUGUCUAGAUUACACUAAUCUUGCAUAAAUAGUGGAACAGGAUAGGGAUAAUACUAUGCCACUAAAGGACUAUAGCCUUUAUUAUGGAGUGGCACACUAGAACUACGGCAAGGUAGUAAUAGAAUGGUAUUUAAAGUGAUAGUUCAGCUCCAUGAGUUAUAGUGUGAUAAAUGUGUAGAUAUCUAUAACCAAGGUAGUGGGAAUGUAGAGGGGCAAUUCACUGCAUUUUAACCUCAAAUCCAUCAGACCUGGGUUCAAAUACUAUUUACUGUAUUUGAAUUAGUAUCAAAUAGUUUUCGAAAAAAGUAUUUGACAAAGUUUCUUUGAAAAUACAAAUAGUUUAGUAUUGGAAUGUAUUUGAAAAUAUUUUAAAUAAUUGCUUAAGCAACAUUAGCAAGUUCAAAAUGAGUUCAGACAGGAUCAACAGUGGGUCAACAUGGAUCUCCGAAGGAAAGACAUCAGCAACAGUGGGUGGAAUUGAAAUCAUGAAGCGUGAGUUGAUUAGUCCCAUGUGGCUCUGUUAGUAGAGCAUGGUGCUUGCCAUGCCAGGCUGUGGUUAUGAUCCCCCAUGGGGGAACAGUAGGAAAAUGUAUGCACUCACUACUGUAAGAUGCUCUGGAUAGAAGUGUUUUCUGAAUGCCAGGAUAUGUACACUGAGUAUAAAGAACACCUACUCUUUCCAUGACAUAGACUGAGAAUAUUAGGAAGGUUCCUAUGUUUGGUACACAAAGUGUAUAUUGACUAGAUACUCUAAGGGACGCUCUAACAAUGACAAUACAUGUAUUUUAAAAAGGAAGGCAGUUGGGAGGCAAAAUCAGAUGGGAUCAUUCUAAACAAUGAGAAAGCAGAUAUGCAUGUGAACUAGUUAACGCAGCCACAAAGUCAGAAUUGGCUAGCCUAUAUUAGGAAUGUGUAGAAUAUGCAGCAUUAGUGCUAAUCAUCUGGACUAGAAAUCAGUAAACAAAUGUAAAUGACCAACAAAAAGUAAUAGUUUCAUGCAUGUAUUUAUCUAGUACUAGAUUUAUUUAUAAAAUACUGUAUACACAGGAAAUGAUGACAACAAAAUAAUUGCUGGCCUCGCCAUAAAAUAAAAAUACAAUUUCAUCAUCCAUCAAGACAAACAUUAGAGCUGUUCUGAAAGCCUGAGGCUCAUCCAUUUGUUACCACCUAUAAGAGGGAAAUCAGCUGUUUCUUUUGGACGAGUAUAAUGUAUGUCAAGUCAAUUCUCAACUACAUUAAGUGGCACAGUCUGUGAGCGUAGAGAGAACAACAGAGCCCAAUCAUUACAGGUCAGUACAGUUUAAUGUCCAUUUGGUGAAAGUAGUGUGUCUUCAAAAGCAGUCCAUGUAGAGCAUCAGACAAGGGUAGAAAUCAGAGGGCAGGAA
ensembl:lncRNA